AGUGUGUCUGCACUACUGUUUUCCUAAGACCUUGUGAAGGCAUUGGCUUUAUACUUCAUAAAAAUGACCACAGUGUUCAGCUGGCCUCCUUUUGUCAGUUUAGGAGCCAAGCGGAGGGGAAGCAGAGUGAGGAAGAGAAGAACUCCCUUAGUGUCCGAGCAGUCGAGUGAAAGGGGUGUGUGUUACUUGCAACUGCCACCAACAAUAGGGUACUGUUGGUGUUACCAGAGUCUGUGAUAUUUUCAGAGACCUGAAAAUGACAUUUUAUUUUGGCAUAGAAGCAGAAAUUUAUCCUUUGAAUUGCUUGUACUUUCCCACAUUGCAAAUAUUGCUGAUACAAAGAGGGAAUGAUCAGCUUCUCGUGGGAUUUGCAACCAUUUAUAGAGAAUCCACAUAAAUUUGCUUGUGAGAUUUCCAGAAUUGGUGGUGCCCUGCAUGCAGCUGUGGGAAAGAUGGGGUGGGCUUGAACUGUACAUGGGAGAAUGGCAUCAAAAGCCCUGCCUGUGCAGUAGCCUUAGGCUGUUUUAUAACCCAGUUAGAGCACUGCUUUAGAUGAUUGUAAUAUGUGUCAGUACCUGUCAUGGCUUGAUCUCACACAGUGAAGAUUUUGAGCUAUUUUAACCCUGAUCACAAUACUGAGCAGUUACUGCAUUCUAUAGCAUUACUUCCAUGUGCAUAAGCAUUCAACUUUACAUCUGUAUAGGUGGCAUAGCAAAUUGUUUACCCUGAUUCCUGAUUGAGAUGAUCUCACAUGUAUAGUGUUUCAAAUGCUCUUUUUGUAAUCGAGUCUUCUUCCCCUCCAUGCCCACAUGGAAUACGAUGUUGAGUAUGUAACAGGUAAACCAUUGCCAAAUUGCAUUUUUCAGCUGGAACUGGCUGACAACACUCAUUUUUCAGAACUGUAAGCUGUACCUCUCAGUCACAAAAUAAUCUUCACAUGCAUAUAAGAGCAUAGGAAUGGUUCAGACAGAGUCUGUCUAGCACAGUACCCUGCCCUAGCAGUGUCCAUGUCUGGACAUGAAAGGAAGGAAAAAUUGGGCAAAAUUUUGUCAGUUUCUAAUACACCUUCUAUGAUGAAGGCAUCAAAGCUUUACACAAUAUUUAUUCAAGGUGUGAAUGAAUGAUGGAUUUAAACAAUGACAUAAAGGUUUUCCUGUUCUGUUUGGUUAUCCUUUCCUAGUGUUUGCUAAUAUUCUAGUUGGUUUUUGAACACUGAGUUGGUGCUUUCACAGUGCUAUCUAGCCUAAACCUUUCUGCAGAACCUUUCUGCAGAAUCCUUCUGCAGAAUCCUUCUGCAGAAUCCAUCAGCCCAUUUAAUAUGUAACCACCCGUUUUACAUGUGAUACCAGAUCUGUUUUUCCACAUGGUUUUCCCCAUGACUUCACAUUUACCGACAUAGAAUUCCACCUACCAUUUUACUGCUCAGUCACUUAGGAUGCUGCUCUUUCCUACACUACCUUGAAUGACUUAAUAUCAUCCACAGGCUUCACCAUGGCACUCUUUGCCAGGCUGUUUACAAAACAUCUUGCACUGCACACACAUGGCCAAAUUUGUGCUGGUUCUGAGACUGUUACACUCCUUGAACUGAGGAGGUUGCUCAAACCUAUCCAAUAGUUGGAAGAACUUUACCUGUAGGGAGGGAGUGUCCUCUAAUUACUUGUUCGCUGUGAACUAAACCAGCAGAUCUGCACUGCACUGUUCUUGAUAUGGAAGAUUUAGAGGCUCUAAGAAAAAGAUAGGUUAGAUACCUUUUCCUGGAUAGGCUGCACAUCAGGAAUCUUAUCUUUAAACUUCAGCAUUCAGAUGCUCUUAAAAUAUCUUAGGCUGAGACCUCUGGACUGUCGAAAAGUUUUUUAGUGGAGUUUUUUAGUAUAUCAGUAUAUGGCUUGACAGUUUUUGUUGUGAAGUUCCUUUUCAUAUUUGUGUGUCUUUGGUUUUCAUCAUCCCUUUAUGAAAUUUUGAACCAACAGAAAUUUUCACAGAAACCUAAAUGGCCACGAUGGAAAAAUCUACAACUUCCUGCCCUGAGCAGCAGUGCUGAAGAGUUGUGUAUGAUUCAUACUGGACAUGGUCCCAAAUUCAUCAAAAAUAUUACUGGAAUUGCAAAAGUGGCAAGUCACUGUGGGGGCCUGGACCCUGCCAAAUGCUGAACUGAGGAAGCUGCAGCUCAGCUAGCGUUGAGUCAGCUCGACUUUGCUGUCAUCAGCAGAGCAUUCCCAUUUUACACCAGCUGACAGCCCCAUCACAGCUAUCAGUUUGCAGACCCAAAUGCGAUGGGAUUAGAAGCAAUCACCGUAAAUUACUGCUUUGUGCAGAACAAUCGGGGGGCUCAGCAAUGGAUGUGCAUAGGUGGCAUGGAAAGAAUUAGGCAGCAGAGACAAAAAAGUAAAAAUGAUGGAAAAACAAUGAUCAUAUCAAAUUAUCAAGAUAAUAUAUCUUACUGAGGUUUACUUUCCUUUGUUGAACAGUAGUUGGUUUUACAAAAAUGUUGUCUGGCAUGCAGGAAUAUUCACCAUCUCGUUAUCUGAUUUGAUUCUUUGCAGGGAGAGAUUAUUCCGUCUGCCUUGUUUGAAUUCAUUUUCUAUUCAGUAUGGAAACAGUCACCCUAGAUCUGGGUUAAUCCAUCUUCUGGUGGACAUCGUGAAAUCUGAAUGAACCGAAAAAAGAACAAAUUGCAGCGGGUAUGUAACAAGCCCCUCUUCUUUCUGUUAAACCUCUGUUAAUAACGUGUGAAGGAGUGACAACAAAGAGCUUCUGUCCUCUUUAUAAAAGACCCUUAAGGGCAGAGGCAGGCUGUAAGAAACUAUUCUUUUGCUAAUGAUAGCUGAAUUACUGAGAAUGCUCAGUGUUAAAACCCCACGAAAAGGAUCUUGUACAUGGAAAGGAAGUAUUUCCUUAGAUGACUUUCUAAUGACUGUCAAACAUUUGCAGCCAUCACACAAAAGGAAGCAUUGUGAAGACAAGGCACAAGCAACCUACUGCUACCCCUGUGGUUACAUUUGCCAGUAGCUGUGAGCUGUAAGCACUCGAGUAGUCCCACAAAUUAAAAAUUUACUCCUGAUUCUGAAUUUUCUUUACUUCACUCUUCCUACUUGUUUCUUUUCUUUUUUCUUUUUUUUUUUUUUGAGCCUCAAGGGUGGCUUGCUUGAUUUUACUAGAAAGGUCUUUGAGCCUUUCAAUCACAUACAACUCUUUCUGAGUUAUAGAAAAGACUUUUUCAUACCAAGUUUUUCACUUGUUCAAUAUCCUUAGGUUUCUCUCCUCAGCUCAAAACAUACUCAUUAAUAUAUGUGCUAUGUGUAAAACUUAGUGACUUGAAGAAUAUUCUUGCUCAUAGCUAUACAUCUUGUAUGUGACUUAAAGGUUAACUUUUCCUGUGUUUUAACAUGUAGUCCAGUGUCUAGCUUACAAGGGGCAAUUUAGUCCUAAUCACAUAUUUUUUGUACUUUCAGAAAAUCCACCAAAAAGGUGAUCUCCCUGUAUUCAAUUUUAACUAGUAUUUUGUGGUUUGGGUUUUUUCCCUCAAAUACAAGGCAGAAAAACAACAAAAGGAUUCAUGGUUCAAUAAUUGCAUUAUGUAUAACAAAGGAACAUCAUCACAAUGUCCACAACCAAACUCUCAUAAUAGUAAUUUUUUAUAGCAGUCAUAUUUUGGCAAUAGCACAGAGAAUUAACAGCUAAUUUGUGAGGAGGAAAGAUCACUCAUGCAGCUCAUGCUGCAUGCUAGACUCAGACAGGUGUUACACACUUCUUUUCAGCACUGGGAUAGCAUCAAGGGACAGAUUUUUGGGGUGGAACUCCUAUAACAACAAAAUACUUAGAAAUGAGGCAAUAUUUCUUAUGAUGGUUUAAAUACUGAAAGCUAUGCGUACAUUAAGUUUUCUUUUUGUUCAGUUGCUUUUUUACCCUUAGUAUAACUUUAUUAGUAAAGCUCUGUGGGCAAAAUUUUAGGCAUGGAUAUGGUCUAUGAUGGAAAAUUUUUCUGUCAGUUUGAUGUCUCAGCUGAGCUGGGGGAAAAAAAUCCCACACCCUAAACGCAUUUAUCUGUCCACACAAUAUGGAGCUCUAAUCUUGGCUUAGCAAGCAUCAUUAAAGCAGGCGUGGUGGAGACACUGUGGAAAAACACCUUCAGUAUUUUGUUUUGCUGAAAUAGCUCUGCUAGCAGAGCAAAUUCACAGAACCUCUUCAGUGGAGAGAAACAGGUUAAUAGUACAGCUAAUUAUGAAGCAUUCACUGCAGAAAAAGUGAAUAUAGACUAUAUUACUAUUCAAGGAUAUGUGCCUUGAAAAGCAACAUGCCUAAAAGCACUAAAGAAUUUCAGUGAACAAAUUAUUUAUGUACUCCUGACAUCCUCCUGUGAUUAAAAGGGUAAAUGCAAGCCUUGAAUGUAUGGACUGCAAAUUGUUAGAGAGGAUUUGCAUCAAAUACUAAAGAAAUGAUGGAGUUCUACCAGAGCUGGAAUAAUACAUUUAGUAAUAAGGAUAAUUAAUGAUAGCAAUAACCUAACAAGAUGUGUGAUGAUAUCUCUGUAAUUCAAAAUAUGUAUAUAAAACCAGUUGUUUUUAGCUAAAAUAUGUAUUUGAGUUUAAGGAAAAAAUUACUUUUCGAAACCAGCAUGUUAUGCUCCUUGCAUCUAGCCUUAGAAGUGGAACUGAACACCAUCACAGUAGAGGUGGAUUACCUACUUUCCAGGCUUAAAGGGUACCUCUCACAGGUUUAAAAAAGUCGCCUGUAAGGGGUGAGAUAUCUGCCUUAAUUAUAGAUGCCUAAACAUGAGAUAUCUGAGUUAUCUGCUCAACCAGUAUGAUCAACAGCAAGAAAUAAGCAUCAGAAGAAUGCUGUUCAUCUCAGCUGAAAACAUAUAUGUAAGACAGAUCAGAUAAAUUGCCCUCUGCAGAUGACGUUUUUGUACUGUGAAGAGAGAACUUGAAGGAGUAGCUUCCAAUAUUUAGGCAAGUUUAUUAAUGCAGAUGAAUCCCUUCAGAGGUGUAGAUUUGGCAAAGCAAAGGGCUUCAAGAUUUUUUUGUUUAGCUUUUCUUAAAGUAUACAAGAUAUGCUACUCCCAAUAGAAAAGACACAAAGAAGUAUUUUUUCACAGUAAAUUGCACAGAUUGCUAUCAUUCACCUCCCAUUGCAGCAAUAUCUACAUCACGAACCCACAUUCAUAAUUUUCUGUCUGUGAAUGACACAAAGGACAGAGACACUGAGGAUUAAAGGCUUGAUUUAAAUCCCAUUAAAAUGUGAGAGACUUGCAUUGACUUUAAUGGGAUGUAGAUUGAAUGCAGAGGAGGCUGAAUGUUGAACUGCUGUCAGGCUUGAAGUACGGGGGGUAUUAAAGGGCAAACUAAUAAUGUUUCUGUUAAAUGUUAAGUACCCAUUCUUCAGAGAGACUUGCCAAACUGGUCAUUCAGUCUCUUUCAGGAUGACUCAAGUGACUCAGUAAGCAAUAAACAAAAUUAUUAAGGUAAUUGCUACUUGUCUUCAUGUCUUCCAAUCUUUGUUACAUUCCAAUAAAGUAAGAUAGUGUUUACUAGGAUGUGUUUACUAGAUACUAUUAACAAUUUAUUUCAUAUGAUAGUUUUUACCAUCUGAUACUGUCAAGGAAUCUGUCUUCUAUUGAUGCAUUAUUUGAUCCAUUUACAGGCCAAUGAGGACAUGUAGGGCUACAUUAAGGCUACCAGUUUUGGUACCUGUGACUCCUGUGGACUGCAAGCCCUUAUAUAUCUGGAAAGUCCUUAGAUACCUGCACAAAAUAACAAUAAAGCCUUCUGCAGUUGAUAGGUGCCUAUGCUCCACUGAGCACAUGGACAACUCUUGGUUCACUUCUCCAUGUGAACAGAGGCAGGACAUGGAGCUCAUGAAAUAGGAAAUGGGAGCUUUGUUUUUUGAGUCCUUCUUUUUAUAAGGAGCUUUGAAUCCUGAGCUGCUAUUUUAUAUAACCUCUGCCAAAAUAAAGAUGCAGGGAUGGUCCUCAUUUUCUGUUAAAGAUGAAUCUCCACGCAGGGAUGAAGGGACGAGGCAAUGGGCACAAACUCAAACAUCAGGAAACACUAUUCUUAUUGUGAGGAAGACUGAGCACUGGAACAGGUUUCUCACAGAGGGGCAACCAGCUGUAGAUGGUCUUGCUUGAGCAGGGGUGGUGGACCAGAUGACUUCCAGGGUCCCUUCCAACCUUAACCAUUCUGUGAUUCUGUGAUGAAUGGCAGUGUCUGUGAGGUAAUGGGGGUGUCAACCAGGUCCCUGCUUCUGAAUCCUUGUGAGAAGAGAAAUUUGUGGACAGGCAUCCUGGCUUCAGCUCAGUUCUGAUAGGACUGCUCAACCACUUUUUAUAAUAAAGGGAUUACACCAGGGCUUGGUGCAAGCACCACAACACAAACUUGUCUGGGGAGCACUGGUAUCCCUGAUCUAGGGAAUGUCCUAGGAAUGUGGGUAUUCCUUGUGUCCUGGGUAUGGGGUGGGGUAUCCACAACUUCGAGCAAGAUGUUUCAGUGCCUCAUCACCCUCAGAGUAAACCCAAUAGCUAAUCUCAAUCUACCUUCUUUCAGUUUGAAAUGUGAAAGUAAAGAUGAGACAUGCUGCAAAUGGGACAUAUUCUCAGUGAACCUCCUGUGCAGCUGAUCUCUAGUCAUGCUGCAAACAAAUCUAGGUUAUGUAGACAGGAGAUCAGGAUAUUAUUCAGGAUUUCCACACUGAUAUUAGAUGAAUAUUCUAAAUUCUCUUAAAACUACCAUAAUUAAGUUUCCAGGCAGAAAAUGAAGCCGUGUGGAAACAACAUGGCCAUUGAUAACUAUGCGUAUUUUCAGGAAUUCUGAGGAACAGUAAAGAUCCUGUAGAAUUCUCCAUUGGCUGCCUGGACCAGGCAAAAGAUGUGUGGAAAGUAUAGCCUGGGAAGUAAUGGUCCUCUGCCGUGGAGUAGGAAUGUUUCCUGCUUGCCUGUGGUCUGCUCUCUUGGUGAAAGACCAGAUGCCAACACAGAUAGAGCAUUGCUGGUUUUACCAGCACGGUGAUAAGAGUGUAGUUUCCCUUGGUUGCUGAGGCUGGAUUUUCCCAGAGGUUUUGUGUGAUGUUCUGCAGAAAUGUGCACAGAUAUGGAUGGAUUACAUUUGGAAUUUGGGACUGGAAACACCCAUUAUAUCAUAUUCUCAAAUUAAGUUAAUUAAUCUAUUUAAAAGAGCUCAAAGAACCUGUAUACCAAGAGGUCAUAAUGUUCUCCACUGUUCUUGUAAAAAUUUAAAACAUUAUAUAAAUUUAUUAAAAGAAAAAGAUCCCACGUGCAAUUCUAGGUUUGAAAUUUAAGACAUGUUUUAUUGUUUGGUUUGCUUUAGAGAUAUACAUGGUACUGGAAAUUAAACUGAAUUUAAACAUUUCUGUAGAUGCCCAAAAUAUUACACACACAACCUCUCCCUUGACACAUUUUAGAAAACAUUCUAAGCGCAGAAGAAAAAAAAUUACAUAAGUACAUUGACAGAAAUCCCAGAUUUGCAAAGCAAUCUAUCACAUGACAUUCAGGUAGACUGUUUUAUUUACAGUUUGUUUUAAGAAAAGUAAAAGGUUUUUUCCAUCCUCAGUUUUAGGUUUGUGUGUAUCUCUGCCAAUGUUAAUCUUGUUGUAUCUUUGCUAUCUAUGCCACCCUAAAAACCUGAAUGUAGAACUAAUUCCUAGCCUGUCUCACAAGUUGCGGCUUAAUGAGUUUCUUCUCUUUUCAUAUAUAACAAGAAAUACAAAUAGCAAUCCAAAAUAAUUUUUGUGAAUUAAAUACUUCUGCUGACUUGCAGUGACCUUACCAUCCUUGUUCUAAAUAGAGAAUUGAACAGAUCCUAUUUAGUCUCAGACAGCAAAUCCAGCUUUUUUGUGAUGAAUUUUGAAAUGUGUUUGUGAGGCAUUCUUUCUGGUGAAGAAAGACAGAUUUCAUUUGGAGUUUUUUUCUUUACAUUCAGGGCUUUGCAUAAUUUCGUAAGAAAGGAAAAUCAUGAAAGCACUCAGUGCUCAUGCUAGCUGGUGACUAUUUCAUGUCAAAUGCAGACAUUGGAGUAGGAAUGAGAAGCCCACAUUUGUGAGUGAGUGCCCUAAUUGCUGGAGAGGAGUAAUCAGCUUUCUGCUCCUUUCCAGACUAAUCAAUCUUGGCCUCACUUUUGAUUUAUGUAUAGUAGAACAGAUGAGCAUCAGGGAUGGAUAAGCUUUGCUUCUUGACAUAAACAGCCUGCAGCCUGAUGUCUGGUACACAUUUUGGAGGCAAGAAAAGGUAAACUUUUUUUUUUUUUGAAUAGUAAAUACCAUUUUUUUGCAUAGCAAAUACCCUAGUUCUGAAUUUUAGAAGGAAGGUGGUCAUGAUCGGUGUAUUCUUCAUGGAGUUUAUGCCUUAGAAGUGUUUUGUGUGCACAGAGUGUACCUGCCAGACUGAGUUUCUUGGAAAACAAGCAUAAUUUAAAAUCCCAAUUAUGUAUAAACAUGAAAUAUAUGCUGAGCUGCUCAGCUGUGCCAAAAUUGUAGCCAUCUGUAGCUUAGAUGCAGACUGUCAUAGGAGGUUGACAUCACAGGUGCAGAUGUGAGACAGUAUCCAAAAUUUCACUGCCCAUGUAGAGUUGUUAGUUGGGUCAAUAACUACAGGGGGGAGGGUGGCUGGGGAGGGGAUCUGUGGGAGAUGACCCAGAGUCCUCAGGGAGGUGUCUCACCAUGGAUUAUACUGAGUGCAUCAGCUAUGGCACACAAGAGGACACUGGGGAGAGCAGGCAGGACAUCUCCAGCUGUUCCAGUCACUGGUGUUUAGGGAACUGAAAGCCUCCACUCAGGCCUUAGCAAGGCUGAUACCAUUAAUCUGCUCUUUGGUUCCUGGUUCCUAGCAUACCUCAAUGUACCACGUUAUGCUAUGGAUACAAAACCAUGGAUCUAGGUUUGGCCCUUAGUCUUUGGUCUUGUAAGAUAUUUUCACAGCUUCUUAAAACAAAUGGCUUAAACCCCCCUGAUCUUAAUCCAAUUUUUCCUGUGUCUAAAAUGAGUUAUGUUCUGAAGACUUCCUGCAACAAUACACAGGCCUAGUCUGACUUGUUCUUCCUCUUUCAAUUUUUCUUUUAAGUAUCCUAAAUGAUGGUUGUCACUAGAACCAGGAAUCCAGACACAUUGACAUCAAAAACAAUUGUAGUAUGUAUGUGGCAACAAGGGUGGGGGGAAGAGUGGAAGGAAGAGGAGCACUUUGAAGAUGUCAUGAUAACUCAGGCAUGUUUAGAUUCAGUAAGUAGGUGUGCCUUUUUCUGUAUCCUGCUCAUCUGCAGAGUAGGAUGUUUGAAGAGAGGGAAAAAUGAAAUGUUAUUUCCAGUAAAGGGGAGGAGACUUAACAAUGGCAAAAUCAUUAUGAAAAAAAAAACGGUGGAGGGAACAUUAGAAUUUUUAGCCAGAAAAUAACUGGGAAGAAAAGUGUGUGUAUUUGAAAUAAAGAUGAAAAUUGCUGCCUUUUUUGUUUUCCAAAACACUGAUGUUUAUAAUUUAUUUGUGACUGAAUUUUAUAAAACUGUUGCAGUAAAUACAAGGCUGGAACUGAAUAAUAUUUUCACCUAUUUUUUUUGUUAUUUGCCAGCAAAAUAAUUGAAAUUACAUGCAAAUUCAACCUAUAUUUGCAACUAACAAAAUUUGCUUGUUUAGUUGGAAACAGAUAGAUAGGCUCUGUACAUCUCUUAGUACUUUGGCGGAGGUAUCUCACAGGACCCAUGUGCUGAGGUGGCCUCCGGUGUAUCCCACAACCAGGGGACCAGUCAUUAAGCCUCCCUCAAAUUUUACCUGCCGUGCCUCAUGGUCUUGACAAACUGAGAGCCAUGAUGGAGGUGCACCAGCAAGGGUUUAGUGAAGACUCUACAUCAUGUCUGCUAAGAGUAUGGGAGAAACCGUUCCCCAAGUGGCUAUCAACCACAAAACUGGCAGCUGUGAUCAAUAGGACACACCACUCAGUGAAGCAUUUUUAGCAACAGGGCAAUGGCACAUUAAAGGCUAGGAGCUGUGAUUUUGCACAAUGACAAGACCCAUGUGUAACUGCAGAGAGUUUCUUCCAGCUCUACUAUUCUUCAACCUUUCCAAGCCUGCUGGCAAGGUGAGGACAACCAGAAAUCACCAAAAGCACUGCUGGAGUGCUUGUACUCUUCGCUCCAGGAGUACGGAUAUCCAGUAGGAGUGCAAGGAGUGGAUACAACUAGUUCAAGAGCAGUUAGUAACUACAAGAGUAGUUUAUAUUUUGCAGAGGUUUUCAGGGCUUUAUCCGUUAAAAAAAAUUUAAAAAGUACUUCUGCUUUUUUUUCCCCCUGAAAGUUAAGGAUUUAUCCCAUAAUCCAGAUCAUUAAGCUGCAACUUCAACAUAAUACCCUUGUCUGAGAUGAUCUUGACUUUUGCCACUCAUUUGGCUGAAAACCCAUGUUUGGAAUAUUAUCAGAACUUACCAGAACUUUUCAUUCUUACAUGUGAAGAACUGAAGUAUUUAAGAGACAAUGAAAUAGUGUUAAUAAAAGAUAUUGAGAGAAAGUAUCAAAAUACCCCAGAUAUCUAGAGGUAUAUAAAGUAUUUAAAAUAUCAACAUGAAUUUAAAAUUAUUUUUUCAACAAUUGCACAUAUAUAUAUAUAUAUAUAUAUAUAUAUAUAUAUAUAUGAAUAUAAAGUUGUGUGCCGGAGAUAGGGGUUCUGCCACAUAACUUGAAAAACAUUCACUUUGAUAUGUGCCAGAUCAACCUUUCCUAAUUUUGCUCUAAGUAUUGCCCAUUUGAGCCUGGUUUGAAGACAGAUUCACCAAGUUUCAGUGGUCUGUUUCCCUCCAGCUGUUUGUUACCCCCUCAAUGCUAUUUACAACCCUAUAUCCAGCCCUAAAGCAAUUUGUGAGUACUUCUUAACUAAUUUUAGGAAAAAUUGAUCGGAUUCAUUUCUUUAGUUUAAGCAGUUUACCUGGUUUGCUUUGUCUGAAGUGGAUUAGGAAACCCUAAUAUAAACUGUUCUUCUAGCAGAAUUGUAGAAAUGCUGAAACCUUUGGCAGUGGCUUCCGCAGCAAGACUUCACUCAAAGGAGCAGGGCAGGGCAGUGAUCUCCAGGGACAACUCCUCAAAGCACAAGAGGACCAUCCGGAUGUGCAGGAAACAGCAGGUGUGGCAGGCAGCCAACUUGGCUGAACAGGGAACUCAUUGCUGAGCUCAAACACAAAAUGGUAAUACACAGAAAAUGGAAGUGGGGAUCACCUAAGGAGUAUGGAAAUUGUAGUUUGAGCUUGAAGGGGUGAAGUCAUCAAAACCCAAAUCUGGCUGGAGUUUAAACUGAUGAGUGAUAGGAAAGGCAACGAGAGGGACUUCUAUAAGUACAUUGAGAGAAAAAGGAAAACCAACAGAAAUACUGAUCUGCGGCUGAAUAGGACAGAUGACUUAACGGUGAAGUCUGAGUGACUUGGUUCUUACUGGCAAGGUCUGCUUUCCAGCUUCCCAAAUCUCUGUGGCAGAGUCUGGGGUGAGAGAAAUGUUACCUGUAGUAGGGUGUGUUCGAAUUAGAGACCACUUAAACAAAUCGGACAUAUGCAUUCUGUCCAGCCCCAGGGACAGAAUGCAUCAAAGAUUGCUGAGGGAGCUGCUGUGUGGCAUUGGAAUGCUCUUCAGCAUGGUCUUUGAAAAGUGGUAGAGAGUGCAGGAGGUUCCUGGAGAUGUGACAAAGACAAAUGCCAUGUACACCUCCAGAAAGUGCAAGGAAGAGGAUCUGGGAGACUACAGACCAGUCAAUCUCACUUCAAUCUGUGGGGAAGUUAUAGAGCAAAUCCUCUUGGAAACCUUUUCCAGGUAUGUGGAGGAAAAGAAUGUGAUUUAUCAAGGGUAAAUCAUGCCUAGCCGAGUCUGAUUGCCUUCUAUAAUAAAAUGACUGGGUGUGUGGACAAAAGGAAAGCAGUGGGUGUCCACAAAUCCCGAAAAAAAGUGGAAGGGAUCACUGGAAGUACUGGCAUGUGGACAAGAGGCUUAUAAAAAGACAAAAGAAAAUGUAUUACAUAACUUUUCUAAAACAUAUUGCUUUUUAUUUUUUAAAUACAUGAAAUUAUUUGACAGAUUUAAUCUAUGAGAAAACAUGAAGGGUUUUAGUUUGCUAAAUUUAUUAUUUAGUGAUGAGUAAGUGCCUAUGUUUCAGUUUAUUCUUCAUUUUCUUAUCAGCUGAUUGCCAAAUCAUCGUAGUAGACAGUAACAGUUUACACUGGAGGUAUUCUGUUCUAAGGAUCUCAGAGUUUCUGUAUAGGCACAUCGUUUUUUUAAAGUAAAACAUUUCAGGUUUAACAAAAGCUGCUGUUUUAGGUUAGGGGAGUAUAUUUCCACCUGGCCUCUGCUCUGCCAUGAAGCUGAUGCUGAGAAAGCACUUUGGCAUGGAAGGCUAACGGGAAGAACACCAGAGCCACACAUCAAAAGAACAACUGAGAUUUGUAACCGUUGAAUUCAUGUUUGCAGAGGUGCUACAGGAAGUGUUUGUGCUGGCAGCCUAGAUGUGUGGAGCCAAGAAAAAGAAUGGAAUGAUACUCUGCCCUUUCCUGGGAUCAGACAACAGAGUUUUGCAACUCAUUGGGAUGACUGGAGUAAGGAUGGUCAGACCUUGAAGAGUUGGAAAAUUUGGUUACUUCUAGCUGAAAGCUGUAAGCUCUUCAGGCAAAAGCACAGUAGAAGUCACAGCAGAUCACACAUGCUAUAUACUUCUUGUAUUUUUACUCCCAACUAUACCUUCUCUAGUUUUUUCAGCAUCUUUUAUAUUGUGACCAAUAUCCUGACUUAUGUAAUAUAUGUAUAUUUGUGUACAGACACAAAAGUAAAAAUGCAUAUAUGCAUAGAUAUGUUUAUAGAGUAAUUUAAAGGCAUUUGACUUGCAUAUUAUUAGAAUAUAAAUUUAUUCUUUUUCGGUCAACUAAAAAUAAGUUGUUGAAUUCUUGCAUAAACUGAGUGCAUAUGUAAACAAAUAUUAAAUGGCCUCACCUAUUUGUGACAUAUUGUUCUUCCUCUGAAGACAUUUGUAAGUGAUGUAUCUCAACUUCAGUAUGAACGCUUUUAUAAAGAUCCAAUACUUCCAAAAUACUAAAUAAUGAGUUGUAAAUAUAAAGAAGCUUGCCAUAUUCUCUGGCUAUUUGUUCUUUAACAUCAAAUUUGGGCAAACAAAUUUAACAAGAGAAUUUUAGUAUUUAGUUUGACAGGAAGUGUCUUCAUAACCUAUGUGGAGGUCCUUGAAGCAGAGCAUUAUUGUCAUGGGUCAUUUCACAAUCUGCUUCCAUCUCCUAUAAAAAUAUAAAGUUCUGAAAUUUUUGAAAAGUAUCUUUUCUGUUGUCAUUAAAUGGCCAUAAAAGUUACACCAUUCACUGCUAUGAAUUACUUAAAUUAUAAAUUAUUAAAAGGACAAAAUUUUUAUAAUAUUCCUAACCAAUUCUCUUUGAAUUUAUGAAUACCACGUAAUAAAUGUUUAUUCGUAGUUUCAUUACAUGUCACAGUUUAGCCAUUCAGUGUGAGUAGUACAUGAUUUGUCAGCAUUUCAAACUUUUAUUACUAUAAACUGAUAUCCACAUCAGAAAACAAUAAAAAUAUUUCCAUCAGUGCUCAAUGGUCUUUAUUAUUCAUGCUAAUGAACAUAAAAGUUUAAAAAUGCCAUAGACUAGUCCAGUGGUUAGGCAGACAUUCAUUGCUUGCAUGAGUGACACACACAGUUUACUCAUAUUAUGGCAUGAACUGAUGAAAAAUUGUCUCCAAAUAUAUGAAAACCCCCUUAAAAUUCAAAAUAUGAGAUUAAAGUGAUAGGACACAUUAAAAGUGGUGUGUUUGUGGUUUUUUUAAAGACAGUGGGCUACAUUUUGUUCAGACUGUUACGGUUUUUCAAAAAUUCUUUAUUUCAUUGAAAACUUUUUCAGAUAAAACUCACGCAAAGCAUUCUGUAUACCACACAAAUUAUAUUACAUAAUAUGAAAUAUAUUUCAUUUGUAUAUUUACAAGUAUAAAUAUGUAAAUAUAUAUGUAUUCUUAUCUAUGUACUCAUAUAAAUACACAUCAAAAGUGUAUGCACCUGGUUAUUGCAUGUGUUCAGUAUUUGACUACAGCAGAUGUGAACCUUUCAUGCUAUAUCUAUGCUAGUUCCUUGAGACCAGUGGGGCCAAAUUUGUAGGACGUGCUACUUGCUGUAGGUGCAUUCCAGGAAGAAGCUUCCUUCAUCUUUGGCAAGAUCCAGUCUGGUCCUGUGAACACCCAUUGGCAAUUAUGAUGCUUGUUCCAGUUUAGUUUAAUUAAAAAACAAACAACCAACCAAAAAACCAGUUUCCUUUACAUCUGCCAUUUCACUUGCAGCUCCAAGUAAAACUUAUCAAAUCCA